AGGCAGCUUGCCCCUAUGUCGGAACUUUCUCUCCUAAGCGGAUUUGGAUGCACCCGAUCUAAUCGAGAUUGCCGCCAAGGUGGGCUCCCAUGAUGCCCCAACCAAAGAGCAAAAAGAGGCCCUAGUCUGCCAUUUUAUGUCAAAUUUAUCAACCCCUCAAUCCUUGUCUUAUAGAAACUUUUUAGAGAAAAACCCCUCUAAAGUCCAAAUUUCAAUUUUCUGGGAAAAUUAUUUUUUUGGGCAUUGCAAGAAAUCUUCAAGAAUCGAAAAGGGUUGCUAUCAAUUGAAUGUGAGACUUGAAGCUGAUUUGGUCCGACUUGAAGCUGAUUUGGUCCAACCUUGAUUUGAUUUCCAGAGGUUAGUUUAUUUCGAUUUUGGGUUUGUAUUUGUUGAUGGUUUUUUAUGUUGGGUUUUGGUUCUGUAAUUUAUCCACAAGUUUGGGUUUGGGUUUGUUAUCCUUUUUCAAGAAUGGUUGCUUUUGUGAUUUUUUUCAAGUUUGGUUUUCGAACUUUUGGUUUUCCACAAUUUUUUCAAGUCUGCAUUUGGGUUUGUUGGCCUUUUCAAAGGUCGAGUUUGGGUUGACGACUUUUCAAGAUAGGGUUAUGAAUUAAUGAUUUGUUUAAAUAUUAUGUUUUGGUUUUGAGAAUUUUUUCUUUGGGUUGGAUUUCUUGGCCUUUUCAAGUUUGGUUUCAAUUUUGCAUAUUUUUCAAACUUGAGUUUGGGUUCAUUGACUAUAUUUAAUAUUGAGUUUUGGUUUUGUGAACUUGAAAAAAGUUUUUAAGUUUUGCUUUCUUGAAUCUUUUGGUGUUUGCUUUUGAUUUUUUAUUGCUUUCAUCAAGAUUGGGUUUGUUUUGUUGCACGUAUUCAAGAUUGGGUUUUGGCUUUAUGAAUUUCAAGUUUGGGCAUUUGAUUUGUUGCUUUGAUGACGAUGUUAACCUCCGUCUUGAUGUUGCCCCAUUGGCACCGGAGGAUAUUAGGAGAAAAACGUUGGCCCGUUAUGAAGUGGGCCAAAACAAGAAAGAAGAUAAAAUGUAGAAAUAAGGGGAGACAGGUCAUAUAAUGUGUUUGGGAAGAAAGAAGAUGACUAUUGUGAUGAAGAGGCCAGCCCAAGGUGGGGCUUAACUCGAGUUAGUAAGAAAGGGAGAUUUGAAAAGAAGAUGCCUCACAGAAAGGGGCCCAUGAUUGUUAUGUUAAUCCCCAAUCUUGAGGCUGUGGUGAGAGAUAGGAACAAAACUACUACGAAGAAUAGCUUCAAAGAGGAGAUCAAGGAGUUAUCCCAAUACAUAGCCUGAUGGACAUGUCAAGCAGGC
rnacentral:lncRNA from 1 species